GACGAACGCUGGCGGCGUGCUUAACACAUGCAAGUCGAACGGAAAGGCCAUGCUUUUGUGGGGUGCUCGAGUGGCGAACGGGUGAGUAACACGUGAGUAACCUGCCCUUGACUUUGGGAUAACUUCAGGAAACUGGGGCUAAUACCGGAUAGGAGCUCCUGCUGCAUGGUGGGGGUUGGAAAGUUUCGGCGGUUGGGGAUGGACUCGCGGCUUAUCAGCUUGUUGGUGGGGUAGUGGCUUACCAAGGCUUUGACGGGUAGCCCGCCUGAGAGGGUGACCGGCCACAUUGGGACUGAGAUACGGCCCAGACUCCUACGGGAGGCAGCAGGGGGGAAUAUGGCACAAUGGGCGGAAGCCUGAUGCGGCAACGCCGCGUGCGGGAUGACGGCCUUCGGGUUGUAAACCGCUUUCGCCUGUGACGAAGCGUGAGUGACGGUAAUGGGUAAAGAAGCACCGGCUAACUACGUG
rnacentral:rRNA from 1 species